rnacentral:rRNA from 1 species
UACGUAGGGUGCGAGCGUUAAUCGGAAUUACUGGGCGUAAAGCGUGCGCAGGCGGUUCGUUAAGUUCGAUGUGAAAGCCCCGGGCUCAACCUGGGAACUGCAUUGGAAACUGGCGAGCUUGAGUAUGGCAGAGGGGGGUGGAAUUCCGCGUGUAGCAGUGAAAUGCGUAGAGAUGUGGAGGAAUACCGAUGGCGAAGGCAGCCCCCUGGGAUGACACUGACGCUGAAGCACGAAAGCGUGGGGAGCAAACAGG